AUGGCGGGAAAGGGGAGCAAGAAGGACAUCGUAUCCGUCCUCAUGCAGGCCAUGCUGGCCGCCAAGACGGUGCGGGCGCAGCGCGACCGCCUGCUGCAGCUCCAGCACCGCCUGCAGGAGCUCCAGGCCGACGCCGACCCCACCCCCACCCCUGACGACGCCGACAAGGACAAGCUCGGCGAGCUCGCCUCCAAACUCUUCGAGGUGUACUACAUCGGGCUGGAGGCCGGCGCCCGGAUGCUCACCACCUGCAUCGAGAUCGCCGCCAAGAAGGGCGUUCGCUUCUCCCCGCCCAACCUGGCUUUCGCGGUCAUGCCCGACGAGCAGCUCCACGACCCGCUGCUCGCGCAGCAGUUCCCGGCCCGCCCCAGGUCCCAGGCCCAGGCCCUCGACCGCGUCAUGGCCGCCGUCCUGGCCAUCAAGCUGCUCCAGGAGCACCUCCUCCCGCGCUGCGUCGAGUGCCUCGCCGGCGGCAAGGCCCCCGUCCCUGGCACCGGCAACACCCCCGACUCCUCCUCCUCCUCCUCGCCCGACAGCAGCCCCGACAGGGACCCGGUCGCCGCAGCCGCCGAGGCCCUCGCCAAGGUCGACCUCUCCGACGACCCGGACGCCACCGCCAAGUCCGGCUCCAGCAACAGCAAGCCCUGUCAGGUAGCCAGAGGCGACGGCGGCGACGUGGGCAAGUCGCUGGACUACCUGUACCGCGCGUGCAGGAUCGCUACCCUCGCCGUGAAGCACAUCGACGUGGCCGUCUCCGUUCUCUCCCGCUUCAUGGAGCCCAAGAGGCUCGCCAGCCUCGCCGAGUUCUGCGACGACCACGCCUACAUCUCCGAGGAGGGAUUCUACCUAGCAUCCAAUUGA
rnacentral:rRNA from 1 species